AGAUGCAUCAACAAAUCGACUGGGAAGGAGUACAGAGAUGGACCAAUGGUCAACAAGUACAAAGAUAUGCUUAUUAAGAAAGCAGUAGAACAAGAUGCAGAAUUUGUUUCUUAUGAUCCAGUGGAAGGGCAGUGGAAAUUUAGGGUAUCACACUUCUAAUUGAUUUUGUGGCAUAACCAAAUGUUUGAAUUUUAAGAUGUCCUCCAACUGAUAUUUUUAGAAUUAGCUCACUUUGAUUUUGUCCCACUCUUUUACGCACUUUUGUUCCCAGUGUGCCAAGUUGUUAUCACUGGAUUUCAUUCAAAGUUUACUCAUUUUGUGUGUAUCUCUUGCAAAGUUUUCUGCUUUUAUCUCCAAUUAUUCUUUUCUUUUUUCACUUGUUUGUGGGUAAAUAGUUCUAAUGAAUCCUCGUAUUAAUGAAUGCCUUCAGGUCCCUAUUCUUAUUCAAUUUGUUAAGACACUUUAUAAAAAUUUCUGUUAUUUAAUUUUGAGGUAAAAUACUGAUAAUAAUAUUUGACACAGCCUGGAAUACAAAGCGUAAUCACAAAAUCAGGGGACAACCAAACACCAUAACUUCCUUUCUCAUUAGCAAUCAAUAGAUUCAAUGUGAACUUGUAAAUAGUUUUUGCUAGUUAUGUUUGAACUUAUUAUUAAAACUAGUGGGGAGUUUCCCGUGCUGCGCGCCACGCACGGGCCCAAUAUCUAUUUUACUGUGAUGAACUUUAAUUUGUGAGUAAACCAUGACACACUUGUCUUUGUAAAGGCUUAGCCCAUUCGAUUAGAUUAUGUUCUCCGUGGGGACAGUUUUUGUCCAUCAUUCGACGGCCUGUCAGCAUUUUUAGAAGAACAACCCCGAAACUGUAUACGUCACUUCUGGCGGUUAUAUGACCUACACAUGAGAGGUGACAAUCAGAAGGUGAGAAAAAAAUUACUCCAGGCUAUCAGAGCAGAAAGGGGAGGUUUCAAAGCUGAAACAUUUAAACCGAAAGACGUAAUUCUUGAAUAGGGAUAAAUAACAGAACAAUCCAAAUAGCAUUACACUUCCAAUUUCUUUCAAAACACAUAGUCUCGAGUACGAAAGACUUGCAAAUUAGACAUAUAGACGACUAUCAAGAACUGAAAAGAGGAGAUAACUCUUAAGAGAAACAUUACUGAAAUAUAUAUGCCAAACGCUCUGACAGAAACAAAUUUGGGUGAGCAGGGCCAUGUCCGUACAGAAACGGUUGGAGCAAAUUGAAAAUACAACAACAACAUAUAUGAAGGUAGAGAGGUUGUUACCAGUAGACGCUCAGUUCAAGUAAAGCAUAACAACAAUUAGGAGUAACUUGAAAUUGUAUAUUACCUGUGGCCAUAUACUCGGGAGCUCUAGUAGAUACAUGGCUUUUACGGUCAAUUGGCCCAUCCUUCGCCAAUCCAAAAUCAGAAAGCUUUGCAUUGUAAUUCUGUCAAACUUCUAGAAGACUAAAUUUCAAAGUGGUUCCACAUACAACAUCAAGCAAAAUGUCAGAUGAUUUGAAAUCCCGAUAUAUAACUUUAGCUUUUGGGCUAUCCGGAGAUUCCAUGACAGUGGUUGGAAAUAAGUACUGCCUGUUCAAGAUGUACCAAAGGUUAACGAUAUGUACCAUACAAAUCCUAAUAUGUACCAUAAAAUUUUUGAUGCACUCCACUCAAAAGCUGCCAAUGAAUAGAAUAUAGUGCUAUAUAUUAUUGCCUGUGAAAACACAUACGGAAACUCAAUAGCAACCUGCAUAGAAAAGUGGAGCACUGUUAAGAAUACCGAAGAAAAAAGAAGUUUUUUUUAACUGUAAAGGAAACAGAAAUAGGGGGACACCUGAGCAAAUGCAAAUGGUAAAGCUGAGUACAUCCCUGCAGCUCUCUCUCGGUAUGAAACAAAUCUUUCAACGGAAACAAAUGGUUGGACAACAGUGCUAUUUGUAACUCCAAUGAACAACACUGCAAUGUACAUGGAUCCCAUUGCAUUGAAUAAAUCCUGCUGUGAAUCCCUGUUGAGAGUAAUAUAUCAAUAGUUACAAACAAUAUGAUCACGACAAAAGACUGUAAGUACCACAGGACAAGCCAUAUUCGCAUGAAAAACGGAUAUGUGAAGUACCAAAAGCCUGCUACUCAAAUAAGCAGUUACGAUUAUCCAAGAAUCAUGAAUCCACAUGCACCUGAGUUUGUUCCAAGAAAAACACAGCCAACUACUGCUGCAAGUGAAGAUUCAAAAAUGGCUAUUGAUGUUGAUUCUUUCACAUGGUUGAAUAAUUUUGUCACAAUAGGAUUUAAGGCGAAGAAGAAACAGGCGACAAUUCCGAAAGCACAGAGGUUCCUCCUUCUUAUGCAACUAUGAGCCGGUGUGCUAUUGAUUUUCUGUACUUGGAAAUAUCAUUUGAUACUAAAGAAUGUCAGUCCAGGUCCUGCUGAAUAGGUGCCAGGUGACUGGUUGCUGUUAAUAAUUUCGGAAAACUUACAAGGUCUUAGAAAUCAAGUGCACCCACAAAUAAACAAGCAUAUGAAACACACUGCACUGCACCCACAAAUAAACAAGUCGAACAAAUUUGAGGAGCAGUAGAGACACACCUUCAACUAGAAAACAAUAGGCUUCUUCCGAUAUUGCUCACAAAGAUUGUACAAAUCUGUGGAAAUCAAAUACGUAUAUGAAGCACGGAGUAGAAUGUAAAAGAUACGCAACAUCUAAACUUCUAACCAUUCCCUCUUGCCUCUGAAGACUACAUAACUUUCACUAGUGAAGACAAAGAGCGUCAGUCAAUGUUCAAUCUAAAAUUAUGUAUACUGGAUCUGAGGUAAAUAGUACUGAACAUUCAGAGAAAUUUAAAGGUGUGUCAUACUCGGUAGUCGAGUUACACAUCUAUAAAUAAAAUACAACAGAAGUAACCUAAAUUAAAUGACAAUACCGAGCCAGGAGUCAAUUUUCACAUUGAUUUAACAUAAUAUAGAUCAUCCACUGGAGUGAUGUGUGAUGCAUAGUUUGAACAAUUUGAGACAAGAUGUCACCUAUGUUGUGACCAUGGAGGUUCCAGUAAGAGUGGUGAGACAGGUUAAUCGGAGUGGCCUUGUUUAGUGAUUUUGCCUCAAAUUCGACACUAAGUUUAUAAGGAUCUUUCAAUGCAUAGGUACCAGAGACAAGGAAUUAAUGGACUGAUUCAUCAAUUCAUUCAUACCUUUCUUGGAAAGGACACUAAGAUUUACCCUCUUCGCCAUCAUAACUGUGGUAGGUUAGAGUUAUGUGAGGACAUGGACCAUCUUGCACGUAUUUGUUGACUCGCUUACAAUUCACAGACCCUUACAUAAUUCAGAUGAAACAUUGUGUGUAAUACCAUUAAACAAAUGUUAUGGGACAUGGACAAUUCACCUUGUUACUUACAUAUCUUCAGACUGUUGCACCAAGUCCAUGUCUUCAGCAGUGAACUGCUUUGGAAUAUGUAUAGUCAGCAUAUGUUAAGACAAAUCAGAAAAACUAAAUAACCAAUCCUUUUGUCAUAGAAAACAAAAGUACGUACCUGUUCAAACAUAUUAGCAACAGUUUCCAAUUCAUUCGGAAUUCUGAAUAGCCUAUAGCCCUAAUUGAGAUAAAUCCUCUACCUGAGCGACAAAAGAGAGUGGAGUCGUAAGGACUAAGGACAGAACAGAUAGAGAGAGAGAGAAUCAAAUAGCAUUUAAAUCGGAACUACCAGUAAACUAAUAGUGAAAAGCAAAACAAGGAAUCUAUACAUAAUCAUUUCUAAGCAAAGCUUGGGAUCCAGAAUGCUCCUUCUCAAGUAACUGAUUGGUAUACAAAAUCAAUAAUUCGUUUAUCACUUUCUGCAGCACAAAUUUGGACUCAACACUGAAAACAAAUCCCAACUAAAGGAAGAUUUUCAACAUGAUGGAGGCCUGAAUUUUCAGUAUUCCAAGUCAAGUAUCUAUCAGGCGAAUACUUUUAAACCAAAUGAACAAUACUGUAGAAAUAUGAGAUUGUUAACUUUCCUUUCAUGUUUUAUUUCCUUGAACAAAAUUUAAAAAUUCAUUGACCAACCACCACCUCGCACCAACGAAGAAGAUGUGCUUCAAGUAAUAUCACACUUAAGAUUUGGCUGCAGCGGACAAAUAUCACAAAAACAAGAAGCAAAGUCUCCAGAAGUUUUUUCUCAUUACUAACAUGGAGAUUAAUAUAAUGACACACUCUAUCCUUCUCUUUCUUCAAAUACUCUUCUACCUGUGUUAGCAAAGCAUGUGUAUCACAAUUUAACCGGGCAACUUAAAGCAAUAACCAACUGUUUAUGGAGAAAAUUAUAAAAAUGAGUUGUACCUUCAACGUAUAAUCUGAAUAAGAAUCUUCCAUGAUCCAACUUGAAGCUUUUCGAGUAUCUCUAAGCAUGGCAUCUUCAAAGUCAUUCACAUAAUACUCCAUUUUCCCCUUCCAAUUCCAACAAAUACAUCAAAAGAACGUUCUUUAAUAAAGUUGUAUCAAUCUGCUUACCCUCACAAUCUUUUUCAAUCUGAUAUCAGCUAACUCUUAAUCAGACCCUCAUAAACUACCAAAUAGUAUCACAAGAAUUGGGGUCAAUAAACUAGUUUAGGUAUAAAACUCGCAAAAUGGUGAUAGAUUAAGAUUUUUUAACCUAUUCACUCUAUACCAAAAAGACCUAAAAUCACAUGCACUAGUUGCAAUGUUGAUGGGUGCAUAUUUGAUGAGUCCACAAUUUCGACUCAUUUAGGGUAUUUUAAUAGAUUUAGUGUCCUUAAAUGCAUAUUUUGUGCCAAUAACUGAUGUAAAUCUACGAUUUUCAGGUAUUUGGAUUGAGGAACAAAGCAUGGACACUAAUGAGCAAAAAGGAACAAGGCAACUUAAAGAACGAAGAAAACAGGGCCUGAUGAUCGCCUAACCCAUUGGGCGAGUCGCCGAAUGGCCACGAUCUCGCCUAAAGUUCCAGUGUGCCAAGCCCUGAAGGAGAAAAUCGAGUCGGCGAUAGAAAGGAGCAGUCGGCGAGUUGCCGAACGGUUCCGCGAUGCAGUGCUAGAUCGCCCAAAGUCACAGAACUUGAAGAUGUUGAAGGCCAAAGCAAAAAGGCGAUGAAAUUGACCAAAGGGAGGAUCGCCGAGUGGAUCGGCGAUCCUGACAUAUUGCGCCGAAUAGUCCUUCGCAACAUAUUUUUGGCGACUAUAAAUACAUUUUAAAAUUCUUAGUUUAGUAUCCAAGUUUUAUUAUUAUUCAGUUUUCAAGUUUGGAACUUAGAACUGAGAGUAUUGAGACAAUAUUUUCCUUAGCAUUGAAGAUUUGAAGAUUUCCAUUUUUGAGAAAUUGAAAGUGGGUCUUUGAGAUUCUUCAACCUUGACCUUUGUAAAGACGAAAUUAAUCGUACCCAGUUGAUGGAAACACAAUUUGGUAACGAUUUUUAUCUUUUUAUGAUGUUUAGCUAAAACCCCAAUUCUUGGGGUGUGAUUAUGUGGUUAUGGAUUGAUUUAGGUGCUGGGUAUUGUUAAUUGAUAGUUUAAAUGUUGUUUAAAAGUGAUUUCAAUCAGUAAUUGUGGUUUAAUUUAAAGGGUUGUAGUUGCAAAUGCAACUCUAACUUCGUGUUUUUGGCUUACUCGAGAGACAAGUUUUAAAACCAAGAUUACUGAUUUGAUGGUCUGUGGGUAUUGGGUUGUCAUGGGUUCAGCUCGAGAGAGUGAAUCCUAAACCUUUUUCCACACAUUUAGCUCGAGAGAGUGAAUGUACUAAAGCAUAGACUGUUCUUAAUUGCUCCUUAUUGGUGUUCGAGAGAAACCAAUUUGAUUCGGGGUAAAUUGUUUGAGAGAAUGUUUACCCCACUAAAGUCUAGCUUAGUCACUGAUUUACAGCUAUUUACUAUCAGUUGCAAUCACCCAUUUAUCUACCUUAGCCCAUAAUCCAAUCAUAUCCCAAGAACCCGUCUCUUUACUUGUUUAUUCGUGUUAUUUAUUGUUGCUGUAGUUGAUAAUUACAAUCAAAACCCCCCAUAUUUGACACUUGUGUCACCCUUAAUUGAAAUAUGCUUUUAUUCGUAAAUGUCUUUACCUAUGAUUGACUUGAACAUAUUUGCACUUGGCUCCUGAAUCUUAAGCACGUACCACUCCCUGUGGGAUUCGACCCCAACUCACUUAGUUGGGUUAUAUUACUGACUAACGAUCGUUGGCACUUAGAAUUGGAAGAAGUGUCCUGAUACGUGAAAUCAAAAUGGCGUCGCUGCCGGGGAGUGGUGUUGGUUAAGCUUCUUUAGUUAAGUUGAAUUUUGUUCUUGUUAGUCAUAGUUGAAUUUACUUAAUUCAAGUUUUGUUUUGCUUGUUUGUGUUUUGAAACAGGAAGUAUGAGUGUGAACGGCAGCAAUGGAAGCAAAGUAGGUCAUCAAGAUGACAUCGGUAACCUCAACGAUGUCAACGAGCCUAAUGUUAAUGACCCUCAUCUUAUGGGUGGUAUUGGUGUCAUUCGCUUUCCCCCAGCCGAAGGGAAUGCGGUGUUCCACAUCACAAGUUUUAUGUUGCAGCUCUUGCAAUUGAAAAAAAUGUUCGGUGGUUUGGCUCAUGAGGAUCCCCAUGAGCAUAUUAGAAACUUCGUGGAUGUAUGCGGACCGUUCUCCUUCAAGAACAUAUUCCAAGAGUAAGUCCGGUUGAGAUUGUUCCCGUUCUCUUUGAUGGGAGAAGUAUGUAAGUGGCAGGCUGAAUUGCCACGUGAAUCAAUCACUUCGUGAGAGGAGUUAGUCACCGCAUUUCAAGUGCGAUUUUUCCCUCCUUCGAAGAUAAUGACUCUUCGGGACAACAUUUAGAGCUUCAAGCAUCUAGAGGGUGAGCCAAUUCAUGAAACUUGGCUAUGAUUCAAGAAGUUGGUGCUCCAAUGUCCAACUCAUGGCUUGCCUGACAACGUGUUGCUUCAGUAAACAAGGGUGUUGCUGACCAACUUUCUCCAGGAGGUUUGAUGCAACAACCUUAUGUGAUAGCGACUUAGCUCUUGAAUGGCAUGGCCACAAUCAAUCGGGCAUGGUACACCCUCGAAGAUCAGGUCUCCCCUCUCACAUUCAAAUUGACCAAAGAGCAGAUGGAGAAAGACCACGAGAGGGACCAGAACAUAGCCAAGAUCAUGACAUAACUUGACAUUUUGUCCAAAAAUGUCAUGGGAGCUGGUGCUCGGAGUAUCAAUGCCGUGGGUGUCGGGUGUGCUAAUCCUGAUGAGGCAAAAUUUGAGGCUUUGUACAGCGAAUAGGUGAAUUUCCUAGCCAACCAAGGUGGUGGUUAUCGUUCAAACUACCCGAGGCAGGGUGGUAACCAAGGUUGGAAUAGAGAUGAAGGUUGGGAGGAUCAUGAUCGAGAAUGGAGGGAUCGAAAUCCCAAUUGGAAGGAUGGAGAUAAAGAUAUGUAUGUGCCUCCCCAUGAGCACCAAAAGCCAAAGGAUUCGGAAGGUGGCCGGUCGGAGGAUAUGCUUUCUUGUAUCCUCCAAAGCUCUAGUUAUGGAAAGUCCGCAUUUGGUAUUAAUCAGAAAGGAAGUAGAAUAGCAUCAUACAUUGCAACUCCAGAUAUAGAUAACAUAUUUCUCGAUGGUGGAGGAAUUCAAUCCAUUUGUGGAAUGCAGACUUACCAACAUAAAAGCCAGGAGGAGUUAAGGUUUGAGGACUACCAGUUAGGUGAUAAAGGUAUCCUUAAUUUGUUUUCUUAUUUGUAGAUUACAAAGAAAUCUACCUUGUAUUUCAUUAACUUAUUAUACUUCAUGGGUGAAUUUGCAGGUCAGAAAUGUGGUUCUUCAUUUGGUGUUUCCGGCACACAGGGGUUUGGUGUCAUCGACAAAACGAGGCCUUUCAUAUCACCAAUAUUUAACCAAUCAACUGUUAAUCAACCUGUUUAUUCCCAUUUUCCCAGUACAUUUGCAGUGGAAAGAGCAGGGAUUGACUCUCUAUCAAAUGAAAAUUCUACCCCAUUUUCGAAGCCACUGCAGCAGUCCAUUUCCCAUAUAUUCCCCCCAAACACAUCAUUGUUAAACUCUUGUGGCACUGGAAGUAGAGUGCAAUCUACUGCUUCAACUGUUUCUUUUUCUCCAUGGAUCCAUUCAAGUCCGUUUGCACCUUUUAAUCCAGCUUCCAGUUCUUCCACUACCUCCACCUUUUCUCCAUCAAGGAAUCCGUGGUCUUUAUCAACAUCUACCCCUCUAUCUCCAUGUUCAGUUUCACCUUCUACAUAUCCUUUGUUAGCAAAACCAUCAGGCCCUGAUUUUGAUCAAAAGAACUAUUUUCCUCCCACACCUGUUUUAACUACAGGUGGCGCUCCACAAUCCACAUUUUGCUUGAACUGCCUAAAGCAGUCACAGCCUACUCCACCAGGACUUUCUAAUGUUUCAAGCACUCCGCUUGCGACGAGUCAAAAUACUGUAAGUGUUUCUGAACUUAUAUCCAAUUAGAUCUUAUUUAUAUAUCUCUGCCAUUUGCUUUCUGUCAUAAAUAAUAUAAAAGGCACCUUGUGGUCUAUAAAAUCGGUGAAUCUCUUCUAUUGUGGUGUUGUACAUCUAAGCUGUUGCUACUCUUGCAGCCUCUGUUCUCUGUUCCUCUGCAGCCAGAAAUGACUCCUAAAGUUGGAGCAACACUUCCAACAACCAAGUCUUCUCACCCAUCAACAGGUACACUUAGUGCAGUAUGUCUUGCUCUUUUUGAUGUCGAUAGUAUGUUGGAUUGUAAACAAUGUAGCUAAUCCUCCCGGCCCCUGUUUCCUGUAAGAAGGUGCUAGUUGCUCAGAAAUUGGACAAGGAGUUGGUCAGCAGCCAAGUGUCAAUGGCCAACAGUGAGUAUCAAACUUAACUAUCUAUUGUUUUACUUUACUUUGUGUGUUAUUGAAUGCCUAAUUUUGACUUCUAGGCUUUCCUCGCAUUCUUUUUAUUUUUGUUGCCUCAGUUAUUACUCCACAGUCCCGUUUUAAUCUGAUCGUUUUCUUCUUUUGUGUCUCUUCUUUUUCUUGCCUCCGAGAUCUUUCUUUUUGUACUUUCUCAUGCACCAGCUAUACCUUAACAUAUUUUCAGGUCUUACUUUCCGAGAAUCAUGGAAGUCAAGCCAUCACCAAUUAUGCCUCCUGCUGAAACACAACCUUCAGUCCAAAUCUCAGUUGAGCACCCGUAUUUGGAAACAUCCAUCCAGUAUGGAAUUUCUAGUUUACCUGUAAGUUUCACAUUUCUGAACAAGUUAUUAUAAUUAAUGUUGCUCCUGGAUGUGUUCAUUGGUCUCAAGCCAAGUAAUCAUACUCACUAGUAGUUACAUGAUGUACUGGGAUACCUCAUUACAAUUGAUGUAAUGCUAUGCACCUUGAAAUACAGUUUAUUUAUUACCUUUAUUAUGUUGUAAUUGUGGAUGCUUUCCUGUCAAAGUAGAUGUACCUGCGUCUAGUUGCUGGACUUUGGCUUUAUAUUUGCUUGGUUUUACUGCAUCAAGUAGGUUUAUAUAAAUAAAUUUCAGUAUUUCUCCAAUCAGAUAUAAACAUCAAUAUAGUUGUCCAAAUUCCAAACAAACUCUUCAAAGUAUCAGGCAUGAUUAUGUUUUUAUUAGAUUCACUAUGUUGCUUAAGGUGAAAACAACAGUUGUAGGCUAUUAUGAAAAAUUAUCCUUUUGUUGGUUGCAGGUUUCUAACAACCCUGCACCGUUGAUAAUUCGACAUUCAUCUCUAAGUCACCAUAGGUUGCCACCUCAGGAAUACAAACCUACAAGUGAUAAACCAAAGGUGAGAAGUAUAAUUUUAUGCGAGACAUGUUUAGUAGUUCCUGGGCAUGCUUUGGUUGAUGGACCAAAAGUUUAAGUUGCAAUCAUAUGCAAAGAUUGCAAGUAUGGGUAUCCUUUCGGUGAAAAAAUACAGGACAAAGUCCAUAUUUUCCUCUAAUCCAAGGUAAACACUGGAAGAUUUAACAGGACUAUAACAUUUGUUUAUGUAGAUACUCUUUGUCAUGGAUAAAGAAAACGCUUCUGGUGUACUAAGGACAGAAGUCAUCAUCAUUCCAAGGGACCGGGUUCGUCCUACCGCAGAAUCUCCACUGGGGGCUGAUUCAUCUAUGGACAGUAAGCUUUCUUUUUUGAUAAACAUAUGCAAGCAUGCCUUUCUUUCAUUGAUUGGUUAAGCUGGAUUCUAUUAGAUGUAAUGUUUACUGUAAUGUUUUAGUGGAUUACUUAAUAUCAAGUACCAUUUUAUGUCUGCUCCAUCAAGAUCCCAUUUCGUUAAAGCUCAAAGCCUGGAAUCUCUAAUAGUGCAAAAUUAAAACCAACUUCAUGGAUUGGUGAUUCGUUUACAAGACUUUGGACACUAGAAAAAUCAUCAUUUGUUAUCUAUUUGAGUAUAUCCAAGGAUAUAAAAUUUAACUUGCUACUUUACAAGUUCCAAGAAUUAAGAACCAAACUAACCAAGUUUGCUAUUUAAUUGUGUAAUAAUUCCCUUUUCUGUUUAAAAUGUAGGGAUGCAUGACGGAGACAAAGUUGGUGACAAGCCCAAGUUAGAGCCUGAAGAGAUGCAUCAUGAUAAUUGUGGCAAUGAUAAGGAUGUGGAUGGCAUUAUGCCAAAGCUUCAACGUGCUGAUUACUACACCGUUCCUCCUAUGGAGGAGUUGCUAUCCAAGGAGAAGGAAGAAGCUGAUUUUUGUUGCCACGUAAAGGACUUUGUGGUAGGAAGAUAUGGGUAUGGAAGCAUCAAGUUCUUGGGAGAAACAGAUGUCCGGAAGCUUGACCUUGAUUCUGCUGUCCAGUUCAAUCAUCGUGAGGUGGUCAUCUAUAUGGAUGAGAGCAAGAAGCCUCCAGUUGGACAAGGCCUCAACAAGCCAGCUGAGAUAACUCUCCUUAAUGUCAGAUGCAUCAACAAAUCGACUGGUAAGGAGUACAGAGAUAUGCUUAUUAAGAAAGCAGUAGAGCUUGAUGCAGAAUUUGUUUCUUAUGAUCCAGUGGAAGGGCAGUGGAAAUUUAGGGUGUCACACUUGUAAUCGUGAGUUCAAAUUUUCUUGGUUGGUUUUGUGACAUAACCAAAUAUUUGAAUUGUAAAGAUGUCUUCCUGCUGAUACUUUUUUACAAUUUGCUCACUUUGAUUUAGUCCCACUAGAACUCCCACUUUUUUUAUGCACCCCGUUGAU
rnacentral:lncRNA from 1 species